GCCGGGCGCGGUGGCGCGCGCCUGUAGUCCCAGCUACUCGGGAGGCUGAGGCAGGAGGAUCGCUUGAGCCCAGGAGUUCUGGGCUGUAGUGCGCUAUGCCGAUCGGGUGUCCGCACUAAGUUCGGCAUCAAUAUGGUGACCUCCCGGGAGCGGGGCACCACCAGGUUGCCUAAGGAGGGGUGAACCGGCCCAGGUCGGAAACGGAGCAGGUCAAAACUCCCGUGCUGAUCAGUAGAAUGGACUCCAGUAUUGACUGACAGCGUUUCACUGAGUUAAAGAAAGUGUGGU
rnacentral:SRP_RNA from 1 species